CUCUGGAAGUUUUGCACGUCGCUGUGAAAAUCUUUGUCGUUACCCUUUGAAAGGUGGGCGUUGGGAAGUAGGUUUUAAAUCUAGCUUCAGAUGACAUGCAGAAAAGUCUGAAAUAGCAGCAAUCUUUCUGAUUUAGUAGAGUGUUGGAAUCCUUUAGUUGUGAAAUGAGAUGAAAAUUCUAUUCCCCAGAAUUUGUUUGAAGUAGUGUUUGGUAGGAAUAUUUUGUUAUGCUACCUGGGGUGGGGACGGUAUCUCAAAAACACAGGCUGGUUGCACGUGGUCACUAGGCUAUCUUCUCGGGAGUGUAAGUGCAAUCAGCUAGAGCCCUCUGAGUUUCACUGAGAAUUUUGAUGGGUUUACAUCUGUGAACUUGAAGGUAGAAGCCAAGAAGAGGUAAAUGCUUAGUAUAAAUAGAGAAGAAAUAUAUUAGAAGUGAGAGAGAAAGAGAAAUCUUGUGGCACACUCCAGAGCCAUCAAAGGGGAAGCAGUAUUAGAGGAGGAGUAUUCAAGAGAGAUCUCUGGUACUGGCGAGCCAAGGGUGGAAGUCAAAGAACAGAUAUGUUAAGGGGGAUUCCCACAAAUGUUUAUUUUGAAAAAUACCAAAACUUCAGAAAAGUUAUAAGAAUCGUACAUUAAACACUGGUGUAUCCCUUAUGUGUACAUAUAAAUGUAUACAGAGGGACAGAGAGUGCACUUUUAUUAACAUGUGUAUUGACAUUUUGUAUAUAGAUAGGCAGAUAAGAAAGUUGAUACAGAGAGAAAUGUGUGUGUAUAUAUAUAUAUAUUUUUUUUUUUCUUUUUCUGAACCAUAUGAAGGUUGUUGGUAGACAUCAUGCAGCUUCACCACUAAGUGCUUCAGUAUGUGUUUCCUGAGAACAAGGCCAUUGCUCCUAUAUAACCAGGAUGCAAUUGUCCCACUCAGGAACUUAAGCUUGCUAAAAUACAAUAUCUAACAUUUAGUGCAUAUUCAAAUUUCCCCAUUGUCCCAAAAAUAUCCUUAUAAAUCUCCAAUUUAAAGGGGAUUUUAAAAUUGUUUGCUGUGUUCAACAUAAAUGCCUUUUCCAUUUUCCCCACAAAGUCAUCAAAAGCAACCACAUUUCUCAUCAACGUUUUUUGCCAAUGAAUUCUGUGGGGGAAAUUAUAGAUGUCCCAUGUCCAGAUUGGCAGGGAGUGAAAAUAGAAAUAAUAGCAGCUGCCAGAAGAGAGAUUGGUUGACGCGGAUUCCAUUUGCGUCAACGAUUUGGAGGAGAGGAGCUUUGUAGAGGCAGUAAGUAGCAGAGACAGAUUGAAAACCACCUAGUCUGUUCCUAGGGUGUUGCCCCUUUUCUUACCACUCAUGUUUUAAAUCUGUCCUCUCUUAGUUGUUAGUAGUUUUCCCAGAUCCUACCAUGUACAUUCAGCUUGCUCUCAUAGGUCUCUUUUUAAAAAAUAGAUCUAUUUUGAGAGCAGUUUUAUAUUUACAGAAAAAUUGAGAAAAUAGUACAGAGUUCCUAUAUAUCCUCUUUACCUCUGCACACAAUUUCCACUAUCAACAUCUUACAUUAGUAGAGAAUAUUAGUUACAACUGAUGCACCAGUAUUCACAAAUUAUGAUUAAUGGAAUCCAUACUUAAUUCAGAUUUCCAUAGUUUUUAACCUAGAGUCCUUUCUGUUCCAAGAUCCCGUCCAGGAAUCAAAAUUUCAUUUAGUUGUUAUUUCUCCUUAGGCUCCUUAGACUGUAACAGUUUCUCAGACUUUUCUUGUUUUUGAUGUCCUCAAUGGUUUCGAACUCAUAGGUUUUUCGAUAAUUUAAUCUCCCUACGUUGCCCGGCAAAGCACCACAAAAAGUAUUGUUUCCAAUUAAAUAAAAUGUCAGACAAUUGGUGGAAAUCAAAUCCUGUUUGAAGUAGCUGCAUGAUAAGGAUGAUAAAGUUAUUUUAGCAGUUGUGUUUGGUUUUGGUCAUUUUAUAACUACUCAUUGAUUAAAUAUGGGCUAUCGAGUUCACAGGAUUCAUUGACUGGCAUAGUCUUCUUUGGGUGGAUUGAGUCAAUGAAGCUCCAGGCAUAAAGAUCAACUGAGAGAGAACCAUACAGAAGGUGCCUUUUCCUCUGGAAACUUGUGUUGUAACAGAUGAUACAUGACAGAUGUUUUAUGCUUUUCUCAUCAUCUUUGCAAGAAUCUCGGGGUAAUUUUGCUUGAGACAUAUGCUGCUAUCCUUUGCCAAGGAAGUAUUUCUCUUGUCUUUUAAAUUUUUUUAAAUCAAAAUAUAAUUUACAUGUAGUGAUAAGCACAGAUCUUAUGUGCAUAGUUAGGUGUUUUGACAAAUGUUUUGACAGAUGUAAGCCACAUCUCAUCGGACAGAGAACAUGUUCAUCACUAUAGAAAAUGAUCUCAUGCCUUUUCCAAAUAAGUGCCUGCCCUUAAUUCCCAGAGGCAACCAAUGGUUCAAUUUCUUUACCAUAGAUUAAGUUGGCUUGUCCUAGGACUUCAUCAAAUGGGAUCAUGCAGUUUGUACUCUUUUGUGUCUGGGCAUCUUUAGUUUAACAUAAUGUUUUUGAGAUUUGUUCAUGUUUUGUGUCUAUCAAAAGUUUAUUCUAUUUUAUUGCUGAGUAGUAUUCAUUGUAUUGUAUUAAUAUACCACAACUUCUUUUUUUUUUUAUACCACAACUUCUUUAUCUACUUUUAUAUUGAUAAAAAUUUGCUUUUUUUCCCGAUUUUUGGGGGCUAUUUUGAAUGAAGUUGUUGUGAAUAUUCUUGUUUAUGUCCUUUUUGUGGACUUCUGUUUCUCUUGAGGGUGGAGUUUCUGGAGCGUGUUUAAUGUCAUAAGAAAACGUCAAACCAUUUCCCAGAGAGGUUGUAACAUUUUAUACUCUGUGUUAGUUAUCUACCGCUGCAUGACAAUAUUACCACAAAUUUAACAGCAAAAAGCAAUAUACUUUUUUUUUCUCCCAGUUUGGAUCAGGAGGCUGGGCAUAGCUUAGAUAAUCCUUUGCAAGGCUGUGAUUGAGUGCUGACCCAAACUGGGUUCUCCUGCUUUAACUGGGGAAGGACAUGAUUCCAGACUCAUGUGGUUUUUGGCAGAAUUCACUUCCUUGUGUUGUGUGAUCGAGAACUUCAAUUUCUUGCUGGCUGCGAGCUGGUGGCCGCCCUCAGCUGCUAGAGAGGCUGCCAACAGUUCCCUACCAUGUGGGGUUCUUUAACAUGGGCAGUUGCUUCCUCAAAGCCAGUGAAGGAGCAAGAGGUUCCAUCCAGCAAGGUGAAUGCAGCAAUCUCAUAAAAUGUAAUCAUGUAAUCAAAUAUAUUUAAUCAUAUACAUCCCAUUACCUUUGCCGUAUUUUAAUGUAAGUCCCACUCACACUCAAGGGGAGGGAUCACACAGGGAAUGAAUACCAGAAGGUGGGGAUUAAAGGGGCCAGUGUAAGAGUAUGUACACCACACACUCCUACCGUAAAUGAAUGGUUGCUUCACAUCUUUGCCAACAUUCGGUGUUGCCAUUUAUUUAAUUUUAGCCAUUCCAGUUGUUGUAGAAUAUGCCACUGUGAUUUAUUGUUAUUUUAUUUUGUGAGUAUAGUUGGCACGCAAUGUUCAGUUAGUUUAAGGCAUACAACAUAUGAUUUGACAAGUUUGUGCGUUACACCAUGCUCACUACAAAAGUAACUACCAUCUGUCACCUACAACCCUAUUACAAUAUCAUUGGCUACUUCCCUAUGCUGUACCUUUUACUCCCAUUGUGGUUUUAAUUUGUACCUCUAAUGUCUAACGAUGCUAAGUAUUUCUCUAUGAGCUUAUUGGCCAAUCAUAUAUCUUCUUUCAGGGGAUGCCUUUUCCUUGUAUUUUGCCCAUUUAAAAGGUUGUGUUGUUUGUCUUUUUACUAUUGAGUUGAAGGAGUUCCUUAUGUAUUUUGGAUAAAGAUCUUUCGAUAGAUAUAUGCAUUACAAAUAUUUUCUCUCUGUCUACGUAUUGCCUAGGUUUUUUCUUAGCAGUGUCCUUUGAUGAGCAGAUAAUUUUAACUUAGAUGAAGUCUGAUUCACCGAUUUUUCUGUGAUGUUUAGUGCUGUUCUGGUAAGAAUAUUCCUCUAUUAGUAAUUGGUAAAACGAGUAAAUAGUACAUUUAAAAAUAAACCAUGACCCAAAGGAGAAAGAACAAGGGAAAUAAAAUAUUUUGAACUGAAUGUUAAUAAAAAUACAUAUUAAACCAUCCCAUAUUUGUGAGAUACAGAGCUGAAUCAGUGCCUAGAAUGGAAUUUGUAGUCUAACAUGCUUACAGCUUAAAAUAAAUUAUUUAGGGUGCCCUAAGUGGCUUAGUUGGUUAAGCAUUUGCCUUCAGCUCAGGUCAUGAUCCCAGGAUCCUGGGGUAGAGCCCCACAUCAGGCUCUCUGCUCGGCAGGGAGCCUGCUUCUCCUGCUCCCUCUGCCUGCCCCUCCUCAUUUGUGCUCUCUCUUUCUGUGUGUCGAAUAAAUAAAUAAAUAAAUAAAAUCUUUAAAAAAAUAACUUACUGAAGCUUCCACCUUACAAAGCAAAAGGAAAUAAAUAAGAGUAAAUUAAUCCAAGGAAGUUUUUAAAAGGAAACAAUAAAUUUAGGGAAAAUCAAUAAAAUAGAAAAUGAAUCAACCAAUUAAUUCAGGAAAAAUCAGCGUGACCAAAAUUUUGUUCUUAUAAAAGAACAAUUGAGGCAAUAAAGCUCUUCUUGGACUGAUCAAGAAAAAAAAAUCAAUGAAAAAAAUUAGUAAGAUAGAACUUUAAAUCAGUUAAAAAUUCAUUGAUAUAAUAUACUGUGUCACACUAGCAUAGAGGACAACGACCACACUGUUAUCACACUGUUAUCUCAAAAGAUACAGAAAAAGCAUUUGACUAAAAUCUAUUACCCUUUCAUGACAAAAGUGCUCAACAAAUUAGGAAUAGAAGGAAAAUUCCUCAACCUGAUAAAUACUUCUAUGAAAGUCCCCCCAGAGAACAUGAUACAUAUCGGUAAAACACUGAAUGUGUUCUGCUAAGGAACAGAAACAAGACAAUGGUGUUUGUUCUCAUCACUUCACCACUUCUUUUUUUUUUUCUUUUUUUUAAGAUUUUAUUUAUUUAUUAAUAAGAGACACAGAGACAGGCAAAGACACAGGCAGAGGGAGAAGCAGGCUCCAUGCAGGGAGCCCGACGUGGGACUCAAUCCCGGGUCUCCAGGACCACACUCUGGGCAGAAGCUGGCGCUAAACCACUGAGCCACCCUGGCUGCCCUGUUCUCACCACUUCUAUUCAACAUUGUAUGGAAGGCUCUAACCUGGGAAGUUAGGCAAGAAAAUAAAAUAAAAGGCAUUCAGAUUGGAAAGGAAGAAGUAAAAUGAUAUGAUCUUGUAUAUUAAAAAAAAAAAAGUUCUAGGAAAUUCAUUAAAAACAAUGAACGAUCUAAAAAUAAAAUAAGGAAAACAAGUCCAUUUGCAAUAGUACCAAAAAA
rnacentral:lncRNA from 1 species